AGUGGCGAACGGGUGAGUAAUACAUCGGAACGUGUCCUGUAGUGGGGGAUAGCCCGGCGAAAGCCGGAUUAAUACCGCAUACGCUCUACGGAGGAAAGGGGGGGAUCUUAGGACCUCCCGCUACAGGGGCGGCCGAUGGCAGAUUAGCUAGUUGGUGGGGUAAAGGCCUACCAAGGCGACGAUCUGUAGCUGGUCUGAGAGGACGACCAGCCACACUGGGACUGAGACACGGCCCAGACUCCUACGGGAGGCAGCAGUGGGGAAUUUUGGACAAUGGGGGCAACCCUGAUCCAGCAAUGCCGCGUGUGUGAAGAAGGCCUUCGGGUUGUAAAGCACUUUUGUCCGGAAAGAAAACGCCGUGGUUAAUACCCGUGGCGGAUGACGGUACCGGAAGAAUAAGCACCGGCUAACUACGUGCCAGCAGCCGCGGUAAUACGUAGGGUGCAAGCGUUAAUCGGAAUUACUGGGCGUAAAGCGUGCGCAGGCGGUCCGCUAAGACAGAUGUGAAAUCCCCGGGCUUAACCUGGGAACUGCAUUUGUGACUGGCGGGCUAGAGUAUGGCAGAGGGGGGUAGAAUUCCACGUGU
rnacentral:rRNA from 1 species